rnacentral:rRNA from 1 species
UACGUAGGGUGCAAGCGUUAAUCGGAAUUACUGGGCGUAAAGCGUGCGCAGGCGGUUCUAUAAGACAGAUGUGAAAUCCCCGGGCUCAACCUGGGAACUGCAUUUGUGACUGUAGAGCUGGAGUACGGUAGAGGGGGAUGGAAUUCCGCGUGUAGCAGUGAAAUGCGUAGAUAUGCGGAGGAACACCGAUGGCGAAGGCAGCCUCCUGGGCCAGCACUGACGCUCAUGCACGAAAGCGUGGGGAGCAAACAGG